AACGAACGCUGGCGGCAUGCCUAACACAUGCAAGUCGAACGAGACCUUCGGGUCUAGUGGCGCACGGGUGCGUAACGCGUGGGAACCUGCCCUUAGGUUCGGAAUAACUCCCCGAAAGGGGUGCUAAUACCGGAUAAUGUCUUCGGACCAAAGAUUUAUCGCCUUUGGAUGGGCCCGCGUUGGAUUAGCUAGUUGGUAGGGUAAAAGCCUACCAAGGCGACGAUCCAUAGCUGGCCUGAGAGGAUGAUCAGCCACACUAGGACUGAGACACGGCCCAGACUCCUACGGGAGGCAGCAGUGGGGAAUAUUGGACAAUGGGCGAAAGCCUGAUCCAGCAAUGCCGCGUGAGUGAUGAAGGCCUUAGGGUUGUAAAGCUCUUUUACCCGGGAUGAUAAUGACAGUACCGGGAGAAUAAGCGCCGGCUAACUCCGUG
rnacentral:rRNA from 1 species